rnacentral:snRNA from 1 species
GGAUGUGAGGGUGAUCUGGCUGCGACAUCUGUCACCCCAUUGAUUGCCAGGGUUGACUCAGCUGAUCUGGCUGGCUAGGCGGGUGUCCCCUUCCUCCCUCACUGUUCCAUGUGCAUCCCUCCCGAAGCUGCGCCCUGGGUCGAAGAGGAUGACCAUCCCCAAUAGAGGAGGACCGUUCUUCGGUCAAGGGUAUAUGAGUAGCUGCGCUCCCCUGCUAGAACCUCCAAACAAGCUCUCAAGGUCCAUUUGUAGGAGAACGUAGGGUAGUCAAGCUUCCAAGACUCCAGACACAUCCAAAUGAGGCGCUGCACGUGGCAGUCUGCCUUUCUUC